UAUACGAUUGUGCGAUUGCACAAUGUUAGAUCGAAGACACCGAAGGGUAAGGACGUGUACUUUACAGAGAGUUUAUUUGUUUAUUUUAAUAUGCUUGUAUUAUAACGACAAGAAAAAAGAAAAUCAUUAAAUAGUAGAAUAUCUUUUACAUAGUUGUAUAGUUAAACACGGUCAAGGCUAUCAGCAUUUCAUUCUUACGGUAGGUAUGUUUUUAAAGAGGAUAAAAGCAAGAUGUAUCUAUGCUUGUUUUAGGAUGUCAAUAUUUUAUGUUUGGUAUCUUUGUUUUAAGAUAUUAUUUCUUAUUUCUAAUACGUAUUUCACUUCAACAGCUUUUCCCAAAAUAAGAGACAGCAGAGAAGCAAAAGAGCAACAUUUAGCGGUCACCCAUCCGAGUACUAACCACGCUCGAUGUUGCUUAACUUCUUUGAUCAAGAGAGACACGUAGUGUACUAUAUGCGAUCGGCAUUUCAUUUGGAUACAAGACGCCGAAGGGUGUUUAACUUCAACAGCUUUUGCCAAAAUAAUAGAAGAACAGAGAAACAAAAGAGCUUUUUGCAGAAAUAAGAGAAGAGCAGAGAAGCAAAAGAGAGGAAGAUAAUGAAUCAGUUAUCGUGCAAGUCUUGGAUCGCAGGGUAAAUGUUGGAACAACAUUUCCCCUAUCACCAACGAGGUCCUGUAAACCAUAGCGCGACCAAAACAAACUUUGUGACAAAAUAGGCGAUGAAAUGGUAAAGGCAGCAUGAAUGCUCACAUCAGCUGCGUACACAUUAAAAGCAUUUAUUUCUAUUGGACUUGAAUGAUCUCUAUCACCAAAUUUGAAUGCAAUGAUACAUAUAUUAAAAUUGUCAAUUCUGUGCAUCUUUUGAAGACUUUUGUCGAGGGUGUUCAAAAUAAAUUCUCGGUCAUCUGGUAAAACAUGCAAUUCUCUUAUAUCGGAAAUUACGUUUUUCUUCAUUGUACUUCUGG